UACAGAGGUCCCAAGCGUUGUUCGGAUUCACUGGGCGUAAAGGGUGCGUAGGUGGUGAGGUAAGUCGGAUGUGAAAUCUCCAGGCUCAACCUGGAAAUGGCAUUGGAAACUACCUUGCUAGAGGGUUUGAGGGGGGACUGGAAUACUUGGUGUAGCAGUGAAAUGCGUAGAUAUCAAGUGGAACACCAGUGGCGAAGGCGAGUCCCUGGAAAAUACCUGACACUGAGGCACGAAAGCUAGGGGAGCAAACAGG
rnacentral:rRNA from 1 species